CACGGUCCAGACUCCUACGGGAUGCAGCAGUAGGGAAUCUUCCGCAAUGGGCGACAGCCUGACGGAGCAACGCCGCGUGCGUGAUGAAGGUCUUCGGAUCGUAACACUCUGUUAUUAGGGACGCCCAUAUGCGUAAGUAACUGUGCACAUCUUGACGGUACCUAAUCAGAACGCCACGGCUAACUACGUGCCAGCAGCCGCGGUAAUACGAAGGUGGCAAGCGUUAUCCGGCAUUCUUGGGCGUAAUGCGCGCGUAGGGGGUUUUUUUAGUCUGAUGUGAAACCCUACCGCUCUACCGCGGAGGGUUAUUGGAAGCUGGAAAACUUGCUUCCCGAAGAGGAGACUGGUAUUGCUUGUGUUGCUCUGGAAUGCACAGCGCC
rnacentral:rRNA from 1 species